rnacentral:rRNA from 1 species
GAUGAACGCUAGCUACAGGCUUAACACAUGCAAGUCGAGGGGCAGCAUGGUCUUAGCUUGCUAAGGCCGAUGGCGACCGGCGCACGGGUGAGUAACACGUAUCCAACCUGCCGUCUACUCUUGGACAGCCUUCUGAAAGGAAGAUUAAUACAAGAUGGCAUCAUGAGUUCACAUGUUCACAUGAUUAAAGGCAUUCCGGUAGACGAUGGGGAUGCGUUCCAUUAGAUAGUAGGCGGGGUAACGGCCCACCUAGUCUUCGAUGGAUAGGGGUUCUGAGAGGAAGGUCCCCCACAUUGGGAACUGAGACACGGGUCCAAACUCCUACGGGAGCAGCAGUGAGGAAUAUUGGGUCAAUGGGCGCAGGGCCUGAACCAGCCAAGUAGCGUAGAAGGAUGACUGCCCUAGUGGGUUAGUAAACUUCUUUUUAA